ensembl:lincRNA Gm3764 predicted gene 3764
UCUUUCAGCAGACUGAUCGAACACACAGGCUUCUCAGCCCACUCCCUCCAGUCAAGGUUAAGGCCUGGCAAAGGUGGAGGAAGAGAAGCUGAGGAGAAAAAGGCGAGGAGAGCCUAGGCACAGGAAGGUGACCGCUUCCCUCCCUCCCAGUGCUGAUUUCCUGUGGACCAGAUUCCAGCACAGUGGAGGGCCAGAGCUCAGGGAACAGACCCAGCAGCACAGCAAGUCUCCAAGGAAAGCUCUAGCAGUCUCCAGGGGCUGAAGGCAGGACUGGGGAAGCGGCUAGCCAGGCUGCAGAAGGCAAAUGCUCCCAGACGGCUGUCCAGCACGCAUCCGCCUUCCUAGCCAAGUUUCCUGGGCUCCUGCCACAGAUCUAAGCCUCAUCCUGACAUCCUGCCCUCUGUGCUCUGGGAUGGCCCAGGGGAGAUGCUUAGCCUUGGCUCCUUGUCUGCUGGUGGAGGGGACACACACCCUUUCUGGACCACAGACCAAAAAGAAGACCUGACGUCAUCCUGAGCACCCCCGCCAUGCAGAGUGUGUUCGCAGACUGCCAACGGGCUGGCUCCGGCCAGC